GAAUCUAAUCAUAUCAGCAUUAAUGCACCUAAUUUCAUUAGAAGUUCACAAUUAAGCGUGUUUGAGCGAAAAUAGUAUUAGGAUAGUUGACCUCCUGAAAAAAUUUCAUGUUAAGUAUU
rfam:Lupinus angustifolius cultivar Tanjil contig_54625, whole genome shotgun sequence.